UACGUAGGGUGCAAGCGUUGUCCGGAAUUAUUGGGCGUAAAGAGCUUGUAGGCGGUUUGUCGCGUCUGCCGUGAAAAUUCGAGGCUCAACCUCGAACUUGCGGUGGGUACGGGCAGACUAGAGUGUGGUAGGGGAGACUGGAAUUCCUGGUGUAGCGGUGAAAUGCGCAGAUAUCAGGAGGAACACCGAUGGCGAAGGCAGGUCUCUGGGCAUUAACUGACGCUGAGGAGCGAAAGCAUGGGGAGCGAACAGG
rnacentral:rRNA from 1 species